GUGAUAUUAAGAUAAUGCCAAGUUUUAGGUUUGGAUGUCUAAAAAAUAGCACUGACAUUAUUUGCAAUAGAGAAAAAUUGAUGGCUUUGGUUUAGAAAUUGAUUUGGAGAUGUCCAGUGACCAUCCAGCUGGAAUUAUAGAAAACAGCAUUCAGACACUUAAAUCUGAAGUUCCAGGUUGAAGUUAAGCCUGGAGAUGUAAAUUUUAGAACUGUUGUGUGUUAACUUUAAAGCCUACAUCUGUGUUUCUGUCAUUUAAAGAGGAAGUAUAGACAGAGAAGAUAAAAUGGCUGAGGACUAAGUCUUGGAUUUUUGUAUCUUUACAGGUCAUAAAGAGAAGAAAGAGCCAGGAAAGAGUCGAAAUACAUGUUUGCAGACAACUAGGACCUGCCACGCAUCUGCUUCUGCUGUUACUCCUGGAACGCCAGCUUCCUCGGGACCCACUGAGCCACUCAGGGUGACAGCCACAUAUUGCUAAUCCUUCCUGAGGACUUUCAGCGAGAGGAAAAUGUCAACGAGGAGAUCAUCAUUUGGGGAAGAAGUGAAAACC
rnacentral:lncRNA from 1 species